rnacentral:rRNA from 1 species
UACAGAGACUGCAAGCGUUAUUCGGAUUCACUGGGCGUAAAGGGUGCGCAGGCGGCCGAGUGUGUUAGGCGUGAAAGCCUGAGGCUUAACCUCAGAAUUGCACCUAAAAACUACAUGGCUAGAGCAUUGGAGAGGGUAGCGGAAUUCACGGUGUAGCAGUGAAAUGCGUAGAUAUCGUGAGGAACACCAGAGGCGAAGGCGGCUACCUGGACAAUUGCUGACGCUCAGGCACGAAAGCGUGGGGAGCAAAAGGG